rnacentral:rRNA from 1 species
GACCUCAGAUCAGGUAGGGAUACCCCCUGAACUUAAGCAUAUCAAUAAGGGGAGGAAAAGAAACCAACAGGGAUUGCCUCAGUAACGGCGAGUGAAGCGGCAAAAGCUCAAAUUUGAAAUCUGGUACCUUUGGUGCCCGAGUUGUAAUUUGUAGAGGUAGCUUUGGGUUACAGCCAGGUCUAUGUUCCUUGGAACAGGACGUCAUGGAGGGUGAGAAUCCCGUAAAUGGCUUGGCCAGUGCCUAUGUAUAGCGCCUUCGACGAGUCGAGUUGUUUGGGAAUGCAGCUCUAAGUGGGUGGUAAAUUCCAUCUAAAGCUAAAUAUUGGCGGGAGACCGAUAGCGCACAAGUAGAGUGAUCGAAAGGUGAAAAGCACUCCGGAAGGAGAGUUAAACAGCACGUGAAAUUGUUGAAAGGGAAGCGCUUGAGACCAGACUCAGGUAGUGUUGAUCAGCCUCCAUUCUUGGGGGUGCACUCUUCACUGCCCGGGCCAGCAACAGUUUUGACGGUGGUAUAAAGGUUUAGGGAAUGUGGCUCUCUUCGGGGAGUGUUAUAGCCCUGUUUCGUAAUGCUGCCAGUUGAGACUGANGACCGCGCUCCGGCUAG